rnacentral:rRNA from 1 species
CCUACGGGAGGCAGCAGUGGGGAAUAUUGGACAAUGGGGGGAACCCUGAUCCAGCCAUGCCGCGUGUGUGAAGAAGGCCCUCGGGUUGUAAAGCACUUUCAGUGAGGAAGAACGCCUGGUGGUUAAUACCCAUCAGGAAAGACAUCACUCACAGAAGAAGCACCGGCUAACUCCGUGCCAGCAGCCGCGGUAAUACGGAGGGAGCGAGCGUUAAUCGGAAUUACUGGGCGUAAAGCGCGCGUAGGUGGCUUGAUAAGCCGGUUGUGAAAGCCCCGGGCUCAACCUGGGAACGGCAUCCGGAACUGUCAAGCUAGAGUGCAGGAGAGGAAGGUAGAAUUCCCGGUGUAGCGGUGAAAUGCGUAGAGAUCGGGAGGAAUACCAGUGGCGAAGGCGGCCUUCUGGACUGACACUGACACUGAGGUGCGAAAGCGUGGGUAGCAAACAGGAUUAGAUACCCGUGUAGUC